AUUGAACGCUGGCGGCAGGCCUAACACAUGCAAGUCGAGCGGAUGAGAGGAGCUUGCUUCUCGAUUCAGCGGCGGACGGGUGAGUAAUGCCUAGGAAUCUGCCUGGUAGUGGGGGACAACGUUUCGAAAGGAACGCUAAUACCGCAUACGUCCUACGGGAGAAAGCAGGGGACCUUCGGGCCUUGCGCUAUCAGAUGAGCCUAGGUCGGAUUAGCUAGUUGGUGAGGUAAUGGCUCACCAAGGCGACGAUCCGUAACUGGUCUGAGAGGAUGAUCAGUCACACUGGAACUGAGACACGGUCCAGACUCCUACGGGAGGCAGCAGUGGGGAAUAUUGGACAAUGGGCGCAAGCCUGAUCCAGCCAUGCCGCGUGUGUGAAGAAGGCCUUCGGGUUGUAAAGCACUUUCAGCGAGGAGGAAGGGUGGUGUGUUAAUAGCACAUCAUUUUGACGUUACUCGCAGAAGAAGCACCGGCUAACUCUGUGCCAGCAGCCGCCGUAAAAC
rnacentral:rRNA from 1 species